rnacentral:rRNA from 1 species
GAUGAACGCUGGCGGUGUGCCUUAGAUGCAGUCGAACGGGAAUCCCGAACUUGUCGGGAGGACAGUGGCAGACGGGUGAGUAACGCGUGGGAAUCUACCUUGUAGUGGGGAAUAGCCUUUCGAAAGAGAGGGUAAUACCGCAUGUUUCCAAAUUUAUUUGGAAAAAGACUUCGGUCGCUAUAAGAGGAGCCCGCGUCCUAUCAGGUAGUUGGUGGGGUAAUAGCCUACCAAGCCAAUGACGGGUAGCCGGUGUGAGAGCACGACCGGCCACAAGGUCACUGAAACACGGGGCCUACACCUACGGGUGGCAGCAACCGGGAAUAUUGCGCAAUGGGCGAAAGCCUGACGCAGCGACACCGCGUGUGGGAAGAAGCUUUUCGGAGUGUAAACCACUGUGGCAAGGGAAGAAUUUUUGACGGUACCUUGCUAGAAAGCACCUGCUAACUACGUGCCAGAAGCCUCGGUAAUACGUAGGGUGCAAGCGUUAUCCGGAUUUAUUGGGCGUAAAGAGUUCCGCAGGCGUCUUUACAAGUUUCUUGUUUAAGCCUGAGGCUCAACUUCAGAAAAGCAAGAAAAACUGUAAAGAUUGAGUUUGUUUGGGGAAGCUGGAAUUCUCGGUGGAGGGGUGAAAUCCGUAGAUAUCGAGAGGAACACCAAUCGCGAAGGCAAGCUUCUAAAACAAUACUGACGCUAAGGGACGAAAGCUUGGGUAGCAAAAGGGAUUAGAGACCCCUGUAGUCCAAGCCGUAAACUUUCCUCGCUAGUUGCCUGGUUAAUAAUGCAU